rnacentral:rRNA from 1 species
GAGUUUGAUCGUGGCUCAGGACGAACGCUGGCGGCGUGCUUAACACAUGCAAGUCGAGCGGUGAAGCCUUUCGGGGUGGAUCAGCGGCGAACGGGUGAGUAACACGUGAGCAACCUGCCUUCAGCUUCGGGAUAACUCCGGGAAACCGGGGCUAAUACCGGAUAUGACUUCUUGCCGCAUGGUGAGGGGUGGAAAGAUUUAUCGGCUGGAGAUGGGCUCGCGGCCUAUCAGCUUGUUGGUGGGGUUGUGGCCUACCAAGGCGACGACGGGUAGCCGGCCUGAGAGGGUGACCGGCCACACUGGGACUGAGACACGGCCCAGACUCCUACGGGAGGCAGCAGUGGGGAAUCUUGCGCAAUGGCGAAAGCCUGACGCAGCGACGCCGCGU